GGGGAAGGGAGAGUUGAUUAUCAGUAAUAUUGACAACUAUAGCUGCUGCCUAGGAAUUGCUUUCUUUCAGGAGCUACACAGUGUCUGCUCUUUAGGCUGUCAUCUGUGGUUGUCAUUUGCAUGUUCUUAUAACUCUUAAGAACAUGCUUUUAUUCUAGAUAUUGUUUUACAAAAUGGAAACUUAGCUGUUUAGAAGAGUCUGUAAACCUUGGCAGUUGACAUGACAGUGGAUUCUGACUGGAUUUUCUGCUCUGACCCCAAGACAAUGUCCUCAGCUGAUUCUGCUUGGACUAAGGUUCUAAACGGGGACUGGAAAACUUCUUUUGGCAAAGGGCCAGGGGGUAAACACUUUUGCUUUGUGGGCACUGUGGUAUCAGCUUCUAUUUCUUAACUUUGUUGCUGUAAUGUGAAGAAAGCCAUUGGUGCUGUGUAAAUAGAUGGGUGUGGCUAUGGUCCAAUUAGACUAUAUUUAUAGAAAAUGGAGAAGAGCUUGCUCUAAAGAACUAAAAUGGGCAAAUAUACACAGUCAAAAAUCACCUCAUGGUAGCAGUUGUUGCUUCAAAAACUCUACUUUUAGCAAUACAGGAAACUACUUCCCUUAUGUUCUUGGGUCUGAGGAAACAAAACAAUGAAGAACCGACAGUUUCCUGUUUCUGUCAGUAUCAGGCAGGAGAGAGAAAAAUUUCUUGCACUGGGAAGAAGAAAUAGGGAUAGUGAACCUGUGGGUCAGGGUAAGUUGAGGCAUGGAGCCAAAUACAGUGUUUUGGUUUUAAUGUCCUCCACAGGCUCAUAUUUUGAACAUUUAUUCCCAUGCUGACACUGUUUUAGAAGGCUGCUUAGUCUUUAGGAAGUAAAGUCUGGAUGGCAGAAGUAGAUCAGUAGACAUGGGCCUUGGAGGUUAUAUCCUCCAUGGGUCCAGCCUGCUCUCUCUGCUAACUGGCCAUGUGACCAUCAAACUCCUCUGGCACAGACUGAGGUCCUACCAUGCUUUUUCACUGUAAAUGGACUGGAAUCUUUUAAAGUCAUGAGUGAAACAAAUCUUUCCUCAGUUAAGUUAUUUCUGGUGGGUAUUUGGUUACAUUAAUGCAAAAUUGACAAAUAUACUGAUUCUCAGUGUUGACUUCCCUACUUGCAAUACCUGGGAUACCAACAUGGGUAUCUACCUGAUUUCUGAGUCUCAAGUUCCAUUUCCAUAAACAGAUGAGAAGCGAUGUUGGCCAGCUUUCUAAAGUUGAGUCUAGAAGGCAAGAGGAAGAUAGCUGAACAGAGAGAAAUAACAGCUGCCCAAGUAUGGGACUCACCGGAAAGCUUCUUCAUAAAGUGACGAAUUGGAAGAAGACCCUGGGCACCAGAUAGGAGCUGAGACUUCCAGGAAUAAAUCCUAUUACAGCCUGGGGAAAAACAGAGUCAUGGAGAGAGGAGACCAAUGAGGAGAGUAAAGGACAAUUAUUAGUCUUAACUUCCAAUGAAGCAAGUAGGUCAGUUGCCAGCUGCCGUGUGAGUCUGCUCACCCAGAAGCCUGCUCAAUGUGGCAGUACAAGAAAAGAGAAGAGGCCAUGUCUGAGACACACAUUGUGAAACCUGCACUGGUGAUGGGACCCUCUAAUUUGGUCAGACGGUAUGGCAACAUAAGUCAGUCCAGCUUUUGGCUGACACAAACAAGGAGUUACGCUCAAGUGCGCUGGAGCGUUCCCAUGAGCUGCCUGUUUUUGGUUUUAAUAAGGCUCCAUCUCUCGAGGUGUAUUAACGGUAAAUCAUUUUUGCUAAUUUAAAAACUAGGAAACAAAUGGAAACCUUGAGGUUUUUCCCCACAACAUGGCUACUUCUAAUAUCAAGAUUGCCAGAGAGGUUUAGGGGAUGGGACCAUGGCUGUGAGAAGGAAUCGAAAAAGUGUUUUGAGGUGGGGAAGUAUUUUAAUAAGUGGAUUAAUCUCUGUGGUUGCACAGCCGAAGAAACCGGGCCAGUGACUUCAAGGUAGAAGUCCUCAGAAACUUCCUAGUCAAGUCUCUCUUUAAAACAGAAGAAGAAAGCGAGGCUAUGAGAUAACAUGGGCACCUGCCUAAAAAGUAUGCCUACUGCAUACUACAUGGGAGGUUGCUGACUGUUCCCAAGGGGUACUUGAAUUGUCUGCAUGUAUUUCAUGUUUGUUUGUUUUGCUGGUAGGAGUACUAAAAAGUUAUAGAGGCUCUUGGCGGAGGGGGGGGGUGUCUUCUCCUCUUGUAAUGUUGGCCAUAAUAUUCUGUUCUCUAACCAAAAUUGCUUUAUAUGACUUCCCUUCCUUUCCAUCAACUUUACACAGCUUAUUUACAGGGCCAAUCGCAGCCCAACAUAAUUUUAUCUAAUGUCUCCCUUCAAACUAGAGAAGCUAAUAGUACUAAUCUCAUUGGAUCUACACAAGGAACACUUUAGUUCAUGUCUCAAAGUAUUCAGAAUAGAGCCUGCUGUACAAGGUUUGUGUAAACUUUGAGCUGUUUUAGAGACGUUGGUAUAAAGGGAGAAAAAAGCUGUUUUCUAAAAUUUUUAUCAUGCCCAAGACUGCCUGUUCUUAUAUCUGCUGGCAAAGGUCUGCUUUGAGGUCCUGACAUUAAUUAUAUUCUCAAGAAUUUCAUAGUAAGCCCCCAAAAUGGAUAUAGGAUGCUGUGAGCAAGGGUCAAAGAAAAGAAAAGAAAAGAAAAGAAAAGAAAAGAAAAGAAAAGAAAAGAAAAGAAAAGUCAUAGAGUCAUGUGUUAAGCAAUUGGUUAACAAUGGUAGCUUAGGCUUAUUAAGCAAGCAGCAUCUCUUACUGGGAGGGAGGGAGGGAGGGAGGGAGAGGGAGAGGGAGAGGGAGAGGGAGGAGAGGGAGAGGGAGAGAGAGAGAGAGAGAGAGAGAGAGAGAGAGAGAGAGAGAGAGAGAGAGAGAAAACUGCAUUUGCAUACUGUUCCAGGCAUCUAGGUAUGCUAUGAUGAACACAGAUAAGAGAUUAUAUAUAUUUUUUCAAUGCUCAAAUCCCCAUCAUCUGACCUUUCACCUGAAUAACGGUUUUGGACCUGGGACAAAUUAUUAGGCCCUCUCCUUGGAUACCCAGCUUCUCUCUUAGCACAAAACAAGUUCCCUUUCUUGGGACAACCUGUGUCCAAAACCUUUACUCCUGCCAUUGGUAGUCUCAUUACUGCUUAAGAUCACUACGAUUUUAAACCCUUUCAUUCUUGGAAUUCGAGUCUAAGUAUGGGCUAACCACGUAAUCUUCGAUGGGCUGUUUUAUCUCUGAUCUUUGUUUCCUUCAAUUUUGAGCAUUUCAUAAGGAUUAGUCAAUAGAGUGCUACUAGUAUUAUAGCAAUACUUGGAGCUGUUGAAGGGUUGGGAAAAUAUCAUAUCAUAGUCAUAAUAAUAUUGGUAGUAUUUUUGAGGUCGUAGUAUCUUAUCAUUAAACCUGUAUAACUUUACUAUGAAGUGGGCUCUAUUUUUAACUUUGUGUCAAAACAAAACAAAAUAAAAUCACAAAAAAUCAAGGCUUAUAGAGACUCUUUUAUCAUUCAACUAACCUUUAUAGAAUGCUUUGUCUAUAACCAGUUUUCUAGAAGCUCAGGAUUCACCAGUACAAAACUUUCAUUCUAGUAGAGAACAUCAAAUCAAUGACUAAAACUACUACAGACUGUUCAGAGUUCUUCAAAGUAGACAACAGAGUCUUGUGGGAGUUUCUUAGAUGGUUAGCUAACUC
rnacentral:lncRNA from 1 species